GGGCCCUUAGCUCAGUUGGUUAGAGCGCACCCCUGAUAAGGGUGAGGUCGGUGGUUCGGAGAUCCACUAGGGCCCACCA
rnacentral:tRNA from 1 species